AACAAACGCUGGCGGCGUGCCUAACACAUGCAAGUCGUACGAGAAAGUCGGCUUCGGCUGAUGAGUAAAGUGGCGCACGGGUGAGUAACGCGUGGAUAAUCUACCCUUAAGUCUGGAAUAACUUGCCGAAAGGUGAACUAAUACCAGAUAAUGCUGUGCAAUGACUUUGUAUAGCCAAAGGAGGCCUCUGCUUGCAAGCUUUCGCUGAAGGAUGAGUCCGCGUACCAUUAGCUAGUUGGUAGGGUAAUGGCCUACAAGGUUAUGAUGGUUAGCUGGUCUGAGAGGAUGAUCAGCCACACUGGAACUGAGACACGGUCCAGACUCCUACGGGAGGCAGCAUG
rnacentral:rRNA from 1 species